rnacentral:snRNA from 1 species
GUACGUGAGGGUGAACUGGCUGUGACAUCUGUCACCCCAUUGAUUUCCAGGAUUAAUUUGGCUGAUCUGAAUGGCUAGGUGGGUUUCCCUUCCUCCCUUACCACUCCAUGUGCAUCCCUCCUGAAGCUGUGUGCUCUGUGGAAGGAGACAGCCAUCCCAGAUAGAAGAAGUAUACCAGUAUUUAGUCAAAGGUGUACGAUAGCUCACAAUGUAUAGAGAUUUCCACUUCAAGUCCAACACCCAGAGAUUUUACACUAGAUAGAAAGAGAAUGUUU